rnacentral:rRNA from 1 species
UAGGUAGGGUGCGAGCGUUAAUCGGAAUUACUGGGCGUAAAGCGUGCGCAGGUGGUUCGCUAAGACAGAUGUGAAAGCCCCGGGCUCAACCUGGGAACUGCGUUUGUGACUGGCGGGCUAGAGUGCGGAAGAGGGAGGUGGAAUUCCACGUGUAGCAGUGAAAUGCGUAGAGAUGUGGAGGAACACCGAUGGCGAAGGCAGCCUCCUGGUCUAGCACUGACGCUCAUGCGCGACAGCGUGGGGAGCAAACAGG